GCCGCCGCAAGCGCCGCUGGCCCGGGGACCACAGAUUGGAAGCAGGCAGUCACUGGUCGUGGACAGGAAGACUCUCUCCGGCCAUCUCAGGUUGUACUUUCCCCAGCUGGCCCUAUGGCGGAGGCUAGGCCAGCUGAGCUGCAUGUCCAGACCUGCUCUGAAUCUGCGCUCCUGGCUGCUGACCAUCCUCCACUACCUCCUGCCCUUCCGUGUGCUCGGGCCCCACAGCCAGGUGGGAUGGAGGCCCCUGAGCAGGGUGUUCCUGUAUAAAACUGUGCCAACGAGUUUGCUGUCAUGUGCCUGUGGUCGCCUCAACAAAGUAGAACUUCCUUACUGGCUCUGGAGGCCAGUCUACAGCCUGUAUAUCUGGACCUUUGGGGUGAACAUGACUGAGGCUGCAGUGGAGGACCUGCACCACUACCGCAACCUCAGCGAGUUUUUCCGGCACCAGCCCAUCAGAUGGCAAGAUCCUCACCUUUGGGCAGGUGAAGAACUCUGAGGUGGAGCAGGUAAAGGGCGAAACCUACUCCUUGGAGUCCUUCCUGGGCCCUCGAACCAGUACAGAAGACCUGCCCUUCCCUCCAGCUUCUUCCAGUGACUCCUUCAGAAACCAGCUGGUCCCCCAAGAAGGGAAUGCGCUCUACCACUGUGUCGUCUACCUGGCCCCAGGAGACUACCACUGCUUCCACUCCCCCACUGACUGGACCGUCUCACAUCGGCGCCACUUCCCAGGUUCCCUGAUGUCAGUGAACCCUGGCAUGGCCCGAUGGAUCAAAGAGCUCUUUUGUCACAAUGAGCAUGUAGUCCUAACUGGAGACUGGAAAAAUGGGUUCUUCUCGUUGACAGCAGUGGGAGCCACCAAUGUGGGCUCUAUCCAUAUCCACUUUAACUGAGUGAGCAAAGCCCACAGGCUAAACCUCUUGGGUCCAACCACUUCAUUUACUGUACAGCCUUACCUUUGGGCUUAUAAAUUUUGUAGUGCAGGAGGGAUGAUCUAGCUCUGACCAGGCUGGACUCUACAGACAUCCAUACCAGCCCAGCCUCCCUCUCCCUGUUGCCCAAUCUGUGGCCAUUCACCUGCCUGAACCAAUCCCACAUCUUAACACACGGCUUCUGCCAGGAUCCCUGAUCAGAAGCAAGGAUGGAGCCUGCAGGAGGGUAGAGUUGGCUUGGGUGAGAAAAUCUGGUACCCACUCUGCCUUUUUAGGUUUUAAUGGCUGCUGCUGGCACUAGCCUUUCAGCAUUUAUGUCUAACCCCUGCCCCUCCUUGUCAAAGUCACAGCUGAUACUGGGAGUGUUGAUUAGUUAGGCCUUUGUCUCUGCCACCUGGGCUGGGCAGAGUUGAGGACAGGCUCAACCUUCUUGUUCCUAGGACUUGCACACAAACAGCCCCAGGUACAGCAAGGUACUACAAUGACCUGAGCUUUGUAACAAGGAGGGCAUUCCCAUGCACAAGGGUGAGCCCCUGGGCGAGUUCAACCUGAGCUCCACAUCAUGCUCAUCUUCGAGGCACCCAAGGACUUCAACUUGAGGCUGAAGGCAGAACAGAAGAUCUGCUUUGCAGGAGCACUGGGCUCCCUCUAGUCCUCUCGGUUGUGGCUGCCAAAGGAUCUUUCCACACAGGAGCAUGAGGGUCUUUAGCGGAGCCCCAGGAUGUCUAGGUGAGGGGCACUGUGGGGCUGACCUUAUAAGACCUGAAUGAUGUGUUCCUGCCUGUCCAUGGGUGCAGAGGAGAGGUUCUGGGUCUCUCAGGACCUAGGCCCCUUUUCUGAGUAUGGGUGGGUGUGAUUUGACCCCAAAGUCACUUUAAGGGGUGUUUUAAAUUUUUGUACAAGCCAGAGCCUCCCACCCCUAACUCCUGGCUGUGUACUACCACACCCUCUAGCUGCGCCCCGACCCGUCACAGGGCUCUCUCACUGUGCACAGGGUGACGUGCCUGCUGGGCAGAGACUGUGGAUCCACUGUCUUCCUAGAGCAGGCCACAUGGCCUUCAUAACUGCUUUCUGCUCCCAAAUUUCACCUAUCUGCAUGCUGGAAAAGUAAAAUCAUUUAUAUAUUGCUGGAUGUGUUGUCCUGGGCUCUGUCAGUGUCUUCUGAAGACAAUGACUAAUGAUGUAUGUAGACCUUUGUAGGCUCUAAGAAGCUGGCUGAAUCCUUUUGCUGGUAGGCAAGACCAAUUAAUUACUGGCUUGUCUGGUAGAGUCUGGAGUGAAAGGGCAGGUUGAGGCCUUGCCCUGCAGAAGUAGGGGACAUGCUGCUAUUGGUCUAGGUCUGUGUUGGAAGCAGAGGGUAUGGAGGUCAGUACCUAGAAAACAGGUAUGCAGGCCAUGGGGAACCCAGUGGUAGGGACAAGACCAGAGUUCAUGUCGAUCUUGGGAAUGCCAUGAAUUUCCCCUGCAGAAGAAAUCACUUAACUUUUCAACCCUAUCAGUAGUACCGUAUUUUGUAUGAAAAGUAGGAGACUUCUGAACAGUAAUUCAUUUCAUUGCAAGACAUUUUGAAAUUAAAAAACAAAACAAAACAAAAA
rnacentral:lncRNA from 1 species